CGUCCCUCCCCCGCAGAGCCGUACCGGUCUAUGAACAUCAGUACAGUUAGAGCUGAGCGUUUAAGGGUCUGUCCCUGACCAACUCUGGGAAGGAUUAGAUCUUUUCCAGAUCGCUGAUAAGCCAGCAUGUGCACAUUUCUCACACCGCAACACAUCCUGCAAGGGAGAGGCUCAAGAUCUGACUCGGACCACACAGCCAAGAAAUGGCUACUACUUGGCCUCUGGUGAGCUGCCUGGACGGAGCACUCUGCUCACAGACUUCUUCCUCUGGCUCCAAAAUGAGGGAAAUGUCUAACAACCCCCCAGAUCCAGUCAGUUCACAAAGACAACAUUGAUAAAGGACAAUUCUAGAAAUAUCUACAGAUGCUCCUGACGGAUAUAGAAGUAAGACAUCCUCAGUUCCCACCUUC